UACGGGGGGAGCAAGCGUUGUUCGGAUUUGCUGGGCGUAAAGGGCGCGUAGGCGGCCAGCACAAGUCAGUUGUGAAAUCUCCGAGCUUAACUCGGAAAGGUCAACUGAUACUGUGCGGCUAGAGUGCGGAAGGGGCAACUGGAAUUCUUGGUGUAGCGGUGAAAUGCGUAGAUAUCAAGAGGAACACCUGCGGCGAAGGCGGGUUGCUGGGCCGACACUGACGCUGAGGCGCGAAAGCCAGGGGAGCGAACGGG
rnacentral:rRNA from 1 species